UGAGGAAGAGGAGGAAGAAGAGGAGGAGGAGGAAAAAGAGGAACAAGGAAGAUGAAGAUGAGAAGGAGGAAGAAGAGCAAGAAGAGGAGGCAGAGGAGGUAGAAGAUGAGCAGGUGAAGGAAGAAUAAGAGGAAGAUGAGGAAGAAGAGGAGGA